UACGAAGGGGGCUAGCGUUGUUCGGAAUUACUGGGCGUAAAGCGCACGUAGGCGGAUACUUAAGUCAGGGGUGAAAUCCCGGGGCUCAACCCCGGAACUGCCUUUGAUACUGGGUAUCUCGAGUCCGGAAGAGGUGAGUGGAAUUCCGAGUGUAGAGGUGAAAUUCGUAGAUAUUCGGAGGAACACCAGUGGCGAAGGCGGCUCACUGGUCCGGUACUGACGCUGAGGUGCGAAAGCGGGGGGAGCAAACAGG
rnacentral:rRNA from 1 species